ACACACGCACGCGCGCUUCUUAAAGGAGACGGCUCAUAAAGGAUUCCCCACUACGCCAGCAGAGGGGAAGAGGAGCCCACGGGAAAGAAAAGCAGGCGAGGUUAAGAAUAAAGAGUGUUCCAGGUAUGACAGCUACCUCGGUGAGGUGGAAGAGAGAAUUGACAAGGCAAAUUUCAUGGGUGAGUUGGAAAGGCAAGAAGCAGGACUACAAGAGGUCCUAUGUGGUAAGCAGAUGGAAAAUUCUGAGAAUGGUUUGCCAAAAAUUGUAUUAGACUGCAAUAACUUUUAUCCAAUAAAAGAAAAAAAGGCUGAGGAAUGGGACUUUGCAGCUGUUGCUGUAAAAAUGUAAGAAAUGCCCACCCAACUUGACCCAAGACCCAAGAAGUUCUCAGGGAGACCUUCCUGACAGUCUGCCUUGUGCCCAGCAUGUGCUGCCCACAAAAUAAUUUUGAAGAUGUAAUAAAAAGCAAUGUCUUAUAUUGUAUAGUACAUUAGAAUAUUCAGAAUGUUUCCAGACAUAGUAUCUCAUUUAAUUCUCACACCAUCUCUGAGGAUUUUGUUUUUAUUUUACAGAUGAAGUAAAUGAUAGCAAUA
ensembl:lncRNA novel transcript, antisense to MMP16